UUGACCUAGUAUAGUAUUUAGAGGAGCCUAAUCUUUGUAAUCUUUUUUCUUAUUUCCUUUUUGAUCUUUGUAAUCUUUGGUUCUGGUUCGGUUUACUUAAUCACUCUUUUCGGAAUAACCAAAGACUGCUUUUGACAUGAUACAAUUUAAUUAUAUUUUUAUUAUACAACAAUUAAUCAAAAAAUUUAGAACCGUGUAUUGUUAUAAAGUUUAAAGGUGAAUCCGUUUUUAACACAAUUUAUGUAACCUAUACUAGUAUUUAUCUAAAAAGGUUAAAGUCCAUAUCAAAUGCUAAAUUUGGUUAUUGUACCAAUAUGUAGCUAAAUUUGAAUUUUUUUUUUGUUUUCGGAUUUUUCUUUCUUUUCUAUUUUAUUUUUGAUGGCAUCGCGUUAGUUGGGUUUACUGCUUAGAGCACAUGUUAAAAAGGGAUUUUUUCCAAAUAAUAUUGGUAUUCAAAUGUUACUGAAUUAUUGAAUUUUUUCUUUUUGAUAAUUGUCUAAAAGGUGAACCACUUACAAUCGUACACAUGGCAUAAAAUUUUUACGGGGUUCUAAAAACAUGUUGUUUAAGAUACUAUCGUGUCUCUUUCUUAAUUUUUAUAAUUUUUUUUUAUAUAAUUAA
rnacentral:lncRNA from 1 species